GUUGGCUAUGGAGACAUGAGGCCGGUGACCGUGGGGGGGAAGAUAGUGGGCUCUCUCUGCGCCAUCGCCGGGGUUUUGACCAUUGCGCUUCCGGUGCCAGUCAUCGUGUCUAAC
rfam:Danio rerio chromosome 4, GRCz11 reference primary assembly.